CGGGGAGUAGUUCAGAUGGCUAGAAUGCACGCAUGGGGUGCGUGAGGUCGCAGGUUCGAGUCCUGUCUCCCCGAC
rnacentral:tRNA from 15 species